UGGGGAAUUUUGGACAAUGGGCGCAAGCCUGAUCCAGCCAUGCCGCGUGUGUGAAGAAGGCCUUCGGGUUGUAAAGCACUUUCGGACGGAACGAAAUCGCGCGGGUUAACAGCGCGCGUGGAUGACGGUACCGUAAGAAGAAGCACCGGCUAACUACGUGCCAGCAGCCGCGGUAAUACGUAGGGUGCGAGCGUUAAUCGGAAUUACUGGGCGUAAAGGGUGCGCAGGCGGCCCCGCAAGUCAGGCGUGAAAUCCCCGGGCUUAGCUUGGGAAUGGCGCUUGAAACUACGAGGCUAGAGUGUGGCAGAGGGAGGUGGAAUUCCACGUGUAGCGGUGAAAUGCGUAGAGAUGUGGAGGAACACCGAUGGCGAAGGCAGCCUCCUGGGCCAACACUGACGCUCAUGCACGAAAGCGUGGGGAGCAAACAGGAUUAGAUACCCACGUAGUCCCUGAGCGGGCUGGCAAGGCG
rnacentral:rRNA from 1 species